GAUGAACGCUGGCGGCGUGCCUAAUACAUGCAAGUCGAGCGAACAGACGAGGAGCUUGCUCCUCUGACGUUAGCGGCGGACGGGUGAGUAACACGUGGAUAACCUACCUAUAAGACUGGGAUAACUUCGGGAAACCGGAGCUAAUACCGGAUAAUAUAUUGAACCGCAUGGUUCAAUAGUGAAAGACGGUUUUGCUGUCCCUUAUAGGUGGAUCCGCGCCGCAUUAGCUAGUUGGUAAGGUAACGGCUUACCAAGGCGACGUAGCGUACCCGACCUGAGGGGGUGAUCGGCCACACUGGAACUGAGAAACGGUCCAGACUCCUACGGGAGGCAGCAGUAGGGAAUCUUCCGCAAUGGGCGAAAGCCUGACGGAGCAACGCCGCGUGAGUGAUGAAGGUCUUCGGAUCGUAAAACUCUGUUAUUAGGGAAGAACAAAUGUGUAAGUAACUAUGCACGUCUUGACGGUACCUAAUCAGAAAGCCACGGCUAACUACGUG
rnacentral:rRNA from 1 species